rnacentral:rRNA from 1 species
CGGGUGAGUAACACGUGAGUAACCUGCCUUACACAAGGGGAUAGCCGUUGGAAACGACGAAUAAUACCCUAUGAAACUAUCACUUCGCAUGAAGCGAUAGUCAAAGUGUUAGCGGUGUAAGAUGGACUUGCGUCUGAUUAGCUAGUUGGUGAGAAAAAGCCCACCAAGGCAACGAUCAGUAGCCGGCUUGAGAGAGUGUACGGCCACAUUGGGACUGAGACACGGCCCAG